UGUUAGUGAUGUGGAUAAUCCUGAAGAAGGGCCUUGAAGCAUUCCUAAGCAUAAUAGAGGUUUUCAUCAGUCUUCUGUUUAAUGCUCACUAUCUCACUGCAAAGU
rfam:Capsicum annuum cultivar Zunla-1 chromosome 12, whole genome shotgun sequence